AUGAAAAAGUUACAUCUGUCAACACAGAAAAUUGCAUCUCAACAAACCUGUCAUUGGCAAGUACCUGAACUACAUUUCAGUCACUCAGUAAAGUGAUAACUCAAAAUAUCGUUGUCAACAGAUCUGAAGAAAUUGCCACUGCGUCUUUAGACCAUUUUCGUCAGACGAGAGACACAGUUCUGACUCUGAUUACUGGUUGCUGUACGUAUCUAUCCACAUCAAGGCUGUUUUUGAGAGAGA